GGGCAAGUGGCGGAAUUGGUAGACGCGCUAGCUUGAGGGGCUAGUGGCCAUCUAUGGCCGUGGAGGUUCAAGUCCUCUCUUGCCCACCA
rnacentral:tRNA from 3 species